rnacentral:rRNA from 1 species
ACGGCAGCGCGGGGCAACCUGGCGGCGAGUGGCGAACGGGUGAGUAAUAUAUCGGAACGUACCCUGGAGUGGGGGAUAACGUAGCGAAAGUUACGCUAAUACCGCAUACGAUCUAAGGAUGAAAGUGGGGGAUCGCAAGACCUCAUGCUCCUGGAGCGGCCGAUAUCUGAUUAGCUAGUUGGCGGGGUAAAAGCCCACCAAGGCAACGAUCAGUAGCUGGUCUGAGAGGACGACCAGCCACACUGGAACUGAGACACGGUCCAGACUCCUACGGGAGGCAGCAGUGGGGAAUUUUGGACAAUGGGCGCAAGCCUGAUCCAGCAAUGCCGCGUGAGUGAAGAAGGCCUUCGGGUUGUAAAGCUCUUUUGUCAGGGAAGAAACGGUGGGGGCUAAUAUCCCCCGCUAAUGACGGUACUUGAAGAAUAAGCACCGGCUAACUACGUGCCAGCAGCCGCGGUAAUACGUAGGGUGCAAGCGUUAAUCGGAAUUACUGGGCGUAAAGCGUGCGCAGGCGGUUUUGUAAGUCUGUCGUGAAAUCCCCGGGCUCAACCUGGGAAUUGCGAUGGAGACUGCAAGGCUAGAGUUUGGCAGAGGGGGGUAGAAUUCCACGUGUAGCAGUGAAAUGCGUAGAUAUGUGGAGGAACACCGAUGGCGAAGGCAGCCCCCUGGGUCAAAACUGACGCUCAUGCACGAAAGCGUGGGGAGCAAACAGGAUUAGAUACCCUGGUAGUCCACGCCCUANACGAUGUCUACUAGUUGUCGGGUCUUANUUGACUUGGUAACGCAGCUAACGCGU